AUUGAACGCUGGCGGAAUGCUUUACACAUGCAAGUCGAACGGCAGCACGGGGGCAACCCUGGUGGCGAGUGGCGAACGGGUGAGUAAUACAUCGGAACGUGCCCAGUCGUGGGGGAUAACGUAGCGAAAGUUACGCUAAUACCGCAUACGAUCUACGGAUGAAAGCGGGGGACCGUAAGGCCUCGCGCGAUUGGAGCGGCCGAUGUCAGAUUAGGUAGUUGGUGAGGUAAAGGCUCACCAAGCCGACGAUCUGUAGCUGGUCUGAGAGGACGGGCAGCCACACGGGGACGGAGACACGGCCCAGACUCCUACGGGAGGCAGCAGUGGGGAAUUUUGGACAAUGGGCGCAAGCCUGAUCCAGCCAUUCCGCGUGCAGGACGAAGGCCUUCGGGUUGUAAACUGCUUUUGUACGGAACGAAAAGGCUCUGGUUAAUACCUGGGGCUCAUGACGGUACCGUAAGAAUAAGCACCGGCUAACUACGUGCCAGCCGCCGCGGUAA
rnacentral:rRNA from 1 species